rnacentral:lncRNA from 1 species
CGAGACCAGCCCGCCCAAAGGGCGAAACCCCCGUCUCUACUAGAAAUACAAAAAAAUCAACCUGGCAUGGUGGCGGGCGCCUGUAAUCCCAGCUACUCGGGAGGCUGAGGCAGGAGAAUCGCUUGAACCCGAAAGAUGGAGGCUGUAGUGAGCCAAGAUCGCACCGCUGCACUCCAGCCAGGUCAAAAGAGUGAAACUCCAUCUCAAAACAAAGAUUAAAAAGCUCCUGUAGACCCUAGAAUACCACAGAAAAGAAAAGUUCUAGGAAGAAGCCCAGCCCCAGAAAAACAAAAACCAAAACAUUUAGAUCCAGAAAUGCCUGAGUGAAGAUGAACUUUGGUGAACUCCCCUUACAAUCCUGCUAAAAUCCCCACCCAGGGAAGAGCUUAUUCACCAUUUUCUAUACAUACAACAUGUGUAGAAGCAUGAUCGGCAAUUGUGUCUUCGCUGCCUUUACUCCACCUGUACAUACAAUGACUGAGCUAACCAGCCCAAUAAAAGCACUGUUUUCAC